ACCAACUCCACGACGGGCUCCUCGUAGACCUCCUCGUCACUCGCCUAUUCCAUCCCCUCCCCACCGACCAAUUCCUUCAACCGCCCAACCACCCCCAUCUCGGCUUCUACCUGUCCCUUCAGCUCCUCUCCAGCCUCUCCCCAAAUCAAUCGCCCAUACUCCUCCCCAUCUCCGAGACCCCCCCGUGGCCCCAAAGCCUCCGCCACUCCCUCAUCAAGUCCUGGAAAAAAUCAUCCAAACCACACUUCUUCACCAUCUUCUACUCCAACGGAUCCUCCAAAACCUCCCAUCACCCCCCCUUCACCGGCAUAUCCACCCUCGCCUGCGGAUCUCCCUCUCUCCCCCCCUCUGAUCCCCUGUCCUAUUCCUCUGUCUCCAUGAUAUGGAAACGCACCCAAACGCUCGCCCGACAAUGCCUCCGCACCCUCCUCCUCCGCCUCCACUCCCCUCGCCCCGACCUCUCCCACCUCUUCCAACCCCCCAUCUCCGACUUCGACGUCCUCAUAGAACUCAACCUCCCCCCCAAACUCCCGUCUAUCCCCUCCCACGCCAAACCGUGCCCCACCCUCCACCACCUCGCCUCGCGUCCCGUCCCCGAACAACCCCACACACGCUUCCUCGUCCAAUUCGACCCCGUGUCCGACUUCGUCAACUCACUCUCGCAGCUCCUCAACCAACACGCCAUCGUGUUCCACAACAACUCCGUCAUCGGCAACCUCGUCGCCAUCCUCUGGAAGCCCUCCUGCUUCUCCCUAAACACCCUGCUGACUCACAACCACUCCAUCCUCAUACAAGACCACACUCAGCUCUGCCGCGGCUUCAUCCCAAACGUCUUCGAACUCCUAAGACAUGUCCACUCCGCGGGAUCCGGCCUCAUCCAGUCCGUCCAUAUCGCUACCGGCAACUCUAAACUCCACACGCAAGUAUACUCACAGAAAUAUAGCUGUUAAAAAAAAGAGGACCCCCUUUGGCCUGUCACUCUUCGCUGACUUCUCUCUCCGGCGUCGUCCCCCGCUGGGGCUCCUUUGUGUUUUUCCCUUUUCGGCUCGAGUCGCCCCUCUCUAGCCUGCGCCUAGCUUGCUUUGUCCUGGGCUUCGCCUCCACUUCUCUCGAUUCCACGUCCUCCGAAGCGGUCGCCGCGGUCUCUCUCUUCCUUGGUGUCACGCGCAUCUCCCGCCCCAGCCGCGAAGAGGGACAAAGCGCACUCACCGGACACGCCUCGCAUUUUGGGGUCGGCCUCUUGCAGACCGUCUGUCCAAAACCUGUCCCAUCGACGUGUCAACCGCGCACCACGACUCUAACUGCUUCCUCGUUUGUUCCGGGCUAACCGACUUGGCCCAGCCGAGCCGAUUGGAUAUGUUGUGAACGUGGACGUCGACGCCAAUUCCCUCGGAAUGCUCCCAGGCGGAUUGUAGCAGCAAGUACGCCAUCUUGGGCCCGACGCCGGGAAGUGCCGAAAUUUCCUUCAGACUCCUCGGAAUGUCGUCGUUGUAUUGAUCGUGCAAAAUUUGCGUGACCCUUUUGAUGUAGGCCGCUUUUUUGUUGUGAAA